rnacentral:misc_RNA from 1 species
UAACCACUCAAGCCCCGGCUUGGUCUUGGGGUUCGCGGUCUCGCGGCUCUUAAAAUCAGUGGCGGUGCCAUCUGGCUCUGAGCGUAGUAAUUCUCUCGCUAUAGAGUCCCGGUGGCUACUUGCCAAAACCCCUAAUUUUUUAC